UACAGAGGUGGCAAGCGUUGUUCGGAAUUACUGGGCGUAAAGGGCGCGUAGGCGGCCUCGCAAGUCCCGUGUGAAAUCCCUCAGCUUAACUGGGGAACUGCGUCUGAGACUGGCAAGCUCGAGUGCAGGAGAGGAACGCGGAAUUCCAGGUGUAGCGGUGAAAUGCGUAGAUAUCUGGAGGAACACCGGUGGCGAAGGCGGCAUUCUGGACCAUAACUGACACUGAGAGACGAAAGCCAGGGGAGCAAACGGG
rnacentral:rRNA from 1 species